UGGAACUGGUUGCUAGGAAACAGGGCAAACUAAGUGCAUUGGAGUGGUUAGAUGGGGCAACUCUGAAGGACUAACAGCACUACAUAUCCAGUCAGAGACUAAAGCAGAUCAGGUGUGAAUUCAGCACCCUGCAAUCAAGUUCCUUCAGACAAAUAUACAUCUCAAAGCAGCUUCUGGAGAAACCUACCUGCUGGAAUCAGCAAGUCCUCAUUUUCUGUCCUUUCAAUGUGAG
rnacentral:lncRNA from 1 species